GUUCUUUAACAUCUAAGUGGUAAAGCCACAGUAAAGGGACAAAGAUUUCAUCAGGUGGCUUCAGAAUGACCUGCGAACAUCUUUGAUAACUUUGCGAAUCCUCUCUUGCCGUGGUAACACACCACCAGGGCCUUCUGAGGGUACAGUUAUGGCCCCCCCCCCCAGACUCAGUUGCGCACAGCAGCUACAGGGGCUCCCUGGGGCUUUAAUCACAGGACUAGGUAGUCAGAAGCAGUUAAAUUGUGCUGCGGGACUCUUUUUGACAUUCCACAGAAUUCAGAGAAACUCUCCUGCGUCCACUGACGGAUGGAGGGGCCGGAAAAGUUUGGGCCUGAAUUUCCCUUCCCUAGGCCCUCCACCUCCCAAGGCUCCCACGAAGCCCUCCCCCUCUAGGGGCUCCGCAGUACCUCUGUGUCCACACCCCUCCAUCCCCAGGCCCUCCCGCCAGCUUCCCCGCGCAACCCCUCUGCUGCCCCAGUCCUAAUUCGCAGCGUCCUCGCCGCCGCAGCUGCAGCCCCCCAAGGGCUCUAGGAUCCCCCGGGAAGAAACGGUGAGUCUGAGCAGUGUUUUGGGAGCAGAGCGUUUAGAGAAAGCCUGGUGGGCCGGCAGGCGUGGGGGGAGGGGCGGGGCGCUGCGAGUGCGCGGCUCUUCGAAGGUCGUCGGUAAUUCCUUCCUCCCGGCGCUGGGCGCUGGCGGUGACCUCUUAACAAAGAACAGUACAGAGAGAAGAAAAAGCGAGUUUAUAAGCCUGUCGACAAGCUGCAGGCUAUUGUUUUUGCAGUGCAUUUUGUGCGUUCUAUUUUGGAAUGAGCUUUCUGGUUUGUAGGAUGAAAGAAUCUCAAGAUAAAGUGGGCAAGCUGUCAGGAAAAUAAGACGGAAACAUGGUACCCAUCCAAAUGGAGAGCUGUGAGAACUCGAUGAGAGUCCACGGAAUUCUGGACCCUGUACAAGUCCUUCUAAAGCCUUGCCUGGUAACUGAAGCUAUAAGCUGAAAUAACAAGAAAAACACGGAGAACUUUGAAAAUUCUCGUGGCUCCAGAUGGGGUGGAAUUAUUUCAGUCUUCUCCUGGAUUUGAAUGUUCACUUGACCACAUUAAUGUGCACACAGUUUUCAAAAAUUUUUGUUCCAACGAAAAGAUAACCCUCAAUCUGCACAGAAACACAUUUUGAACGAUCAUUAAAUAAAGGAUGGAUGGUGGAGUGCUUCGAAUCUUGAGGUCCAAAACAAAACCUUCUUAAGAGGAAGAUUGCAUCUGCAUUUUGAGUUGGGGACUCCUUCGUUGGUGAUGGCGUUGCUGCCUUGUAUGGAGGGGCACAGCCUGGCCUUCUGCAGGACACCUGGCAGCCUUGGGCUGGAUGGAUUCAGCAGUAAUUGAUCUCCGAGCCAGUGAGUGUGCGCAGCACCAGCAAUUUUCAAAAUGCACGGAAUGGCGGCGUGAGGCACCCAAGCUGGCGGAGGAGCUAGGACAGAGCCCCUCUCUGCUGCCUCCCGCUGGAAUCUGGACGGAGCAGGAAAAUUCAGGGGCUGAGAAGUCCCGGCACCCACUGACAUUAGAAUUUCAGACACACAAUCAAUGAUGUUUCAGUCAUGCCCUUUAGACCUCCAGAGACCAAUGUGGCAGCCACUGGUCACAAGUGGCUACUGAGCUCCUCAACUAUGUUUAGUCUGAAUUGUUAUGUGACUUCCCAGAAAGACUUCCAAGACUUUGUAUGAAGAAAAAAACAACCUAGGGAAAUUCUUUCAUAAUAACUUCUUAAUAUUGUCCAUGUGCUGAAAUAAUACUGUUUUGCAUAUAUUGGGCUAAAAUAUAUUAUUAAAAUUAGCUUCACUUCUUUUUAUUUUUUUAAUAUGGCUGCUACGUAAGUUAGACUUACAUAUGCUGCCUGCGUUCUAUUUCUGUUAGACGACAACACUUUUAGAGCAGGGACUGCCAAUUUUUUCUGUAAAGGGCCAGAUAUCAACCAUUUUAGGCUUUGUGGUAGAUAGGAUCUCUGUUGAAAGUUCUCAACUUGGUCCUUGUAGCCAGGGACAGUCUGUAAACAAAUGAGUGUGGCUGAGUGCCAAUAAAACUUUAUUUAUAAAAACAGGCAGCCCCUUAUUUGGCCCACCGGUGUGGUUUGCUGAUCCCUGCUUGGGGGACGUAGGGUUUUUAUUUAUAACUUUUGAAUGGAAUAUUUCUAU
ensembl:lncRNA